UACAGAGGGUGCGAGCGUUAAUCGGAAUUACUGGGCGUAAAGCGCGCGUAGGCGGCUUGGUAUGUCGGGUGUGAAAUCCCCGGGCUCAACCUGGGAACUGCAUCCGAAACUGCCUUGCUAGAGUAUGGGAGAGGGGAGUGGAAUUUCCGGUGUAGCAGUGAAAUGCGUAGAUAUCGGAAGGAACACCAGUGGCGAAGGCGACUUCCUGGACCAAUACUGACGCUCAAGUGCGAAAGCGUGGGGAGCAAACAGG
rnacentral:rRNA from 1 species